GGCUGGCCUCAGACUUGUGUGAUCCUCCUGCCUCAGCCUCCUGAGUUGCUGGACUAUAGAACUGGAAUGUGGAAGAAUGCUUGGGCUUUUCUGCUUUGGGGGAAAGGUUAGCCCAUAUGCAUUGUCAAUUUGCUCCUGGGGAUCUGAUUAGAAUCUAAUGUAAUCUGACCUAAUCCAGUAAGAUUUAAUUGAUGCUGAUGUUUUGUUAGUUUCAACUGUUUAGUUUUUCUUUUUAAUAGUUAUAAUAAAAUUACUUUUACCAAGUAA